rnacentral:rRNA from 1 species
CCUACGGGGGGCAGCAGUGGGGAAUAUUGCGCAAUGGGCGAAAGCCUGACGCAGCGACGCCGCGUGAGGGAUGAAGGUCUUCGGAUCGUAAACCUCUGUCAGCAGGGAAGAACGGUCACUGUGCUAAUCAGCAGUGAAUUGACGGUACCUGCAAAGGAAGCACCGGCUAACUCCGUGCCAGCAGCCGCGGUAAUACGGAGGGUGCGAGCGUUAAUCGGAAUUACUGGGCGUAAAGCGGUCGUAGGCGGUAUGUCAAGUCAAGGGUGAAAUCCCCGCGCUCAACGUGGGAAUUGCCUUUGAAACUUGGCAAAUUGAGUGUUGGUGAGGGUAGUGGAAUUCCAGGUGUAGGAGGUAAAUACGUAGAUAUCUGGAGGAACAUCAGUGGCGAAGGAGACUAUCUGGCACAUAACUGACGCUGAGGAGCGAAAGCGUGGGUAGCAAACAGGAUUAGAUACCCGGGUAGUC